UACGGAGGGGGUUAGCGUUGUUCGGAAUUACUGGGCGUAAAGCGUACGUAGGCGGACUAGUCAGUCAGAGGUGAAAUCCCAGGGCUCAACCCUGGAACUGCCUUUGAUACUGCUAGUCUUGAGUUCGAGAGAGGUGAGUGGAAUUCCAAGUGUAGAGGUGAAAUUCGUAGAUAUUUGGAGGAACACCAGUGGCGAAGGCGGCUCACUGGCUCGAUACUGACGCUGAGGUACGAAAGUGUGGGGAGCAAACAGG
rnacentral:rRNA from 1 species